rnacentral:rRNA from 1 species
AGCAUAUCAAUAAGCGGAGGAAAAGAAACCAACAGGGAUUGCCCCAGUAACGGCGAGUGAAGCGGCAACAGCUCAAAUUUGAAAUCUGGCCUCGGCCCGAGUUGUAAUUUGCAGAGGAAGCUUCUGGUGCGGCGCCGUCCGAGUCUCCUGGAACGGAGCGCCAUAGAGGGUGAGAGCCCCGUAUGGACGGAUGCCAAACCUGUGUGAAGCUCCUUCGACGAGUCGAGUAGUUUGGGAAUGCUGCUCUAAAUGGGAGGUAAAUUCCUUCUAAAGCUAAAUAUUGGCCAGAGACCGAUAGCGCACAAGUAGAGUGAUCGAAAGAUGAAAAGCACUUUGAAAAGAGGGUUAAACAGCACGUGAAAUUGUUGAAAGGGAAGCGCUUGUGACCAGACUUGAGCGCGGCGGAUCAUCCGGUGUUCUCACCGGUGCACUCCGCCGUGUCCAGGCCAGCAUCGGUUUCCGCGGGGGGACAAAGGUCCCGGGAACGUAGCUCCUCCGGGAGUGUUAUAGCCCGGGGCGCAAUGCCCCCGCGGGGACCGAGGACCGCGCAUCUGCAAGGAUGCUGGCGUAAUGGUCAUCAGCGACCCGUCU